rnacentral:tRNA from 2 species
CGGAGCGUGGCGCAGCCCGGUUAGCGCACCGGUCUGGGGGACCGGGGGUCGCGAGUUCGAAUCUCGCCGCUCCGA